rnacentral:rRNA from 1 species
CGGCAGCGCGGGGCAACCUGGCGGCGAGCGGCGAACGGGUGAGUAAUGCAUCGGAACAUGUCCAUGUCGUGGGGGAUAGCCCGGCGAAAGCCGGAUUAAUACCGCAUACGCCCGAGAGGGGAAAGUGGGGGACCGCAAGGCCUCACGCGAUUGGGUUGGCCGAUGUCCGAUUAGCUAGUUGGCGGGGUAAGAGCCCACCAAGGCGAUGAUCGGUAGCUGGUCUGAGAGGAUGAUCAGCCACACUGGGACUGAGACACGGCCCAGGCUCCUACGGGAGGCAGCAGUGGGGAAUUUUGGACAAUGGGGGCAACCCUGAUCCAGCCAUUCCGCGUGAGUGAAGAAGGCCUUCGGGUUGUAAAGCUCUUUUGUCCGGAACGAAACGGUUGGCGUGAAUAUCGCCGACUACUGACGGUACCGGAAGAAUAAGCACCGGCUAACUACGUGCCAGCAGCCGCGGUAAUACGUAGGGUGCGAGCGUUAAUCGGAAUUACUGGGCGUAAAGCGUGCGCAGGCGGUUUUGUAAGCCAGAUGUGAAAUCCCCGGGCUUAACCUGGGAAUGGCAUUUGGGACUGCAAGGCUGGAGUUUGGCAGAGGAGACUGGAAUUCCCGGUGUAGCAGUGAAAUGCGUAGAUAUCGGGAGGAAUACCGAUGGCGAAGGCAGGUCUCUGGGCUAUAACUGACGCUCAUGCACGAAAGCGUGGGGAGCAAACAGGAUUAGAUACCCUGGUAGUCCACGCCCUAAACGAUGUCGACUGGUUGUUGGGGGUUUGACACUCUCA